rnacentral:rRNA from 1 species
UACGUAGGUGGCGAGCGUUGUCCGGAUUUACUGGGCGUAAAGAGCGCGCAGGCGGCUGGUCAAGUCCGAUGUGAAAGCUCCCGGCUUAACUGGGAAAUUGCAUCGGAAACUGAUCGGCUGGAAGGUGGGAGAGGGUAGCGGAAUUCCCGGUGUAGUGGUGAAAUGCGUAGAUAUCGGGAGGAACACCAGUGGCGAAAGCGGCUCACUGGACCACAACUGACGCUGAGGCGCGAAAGCUAGGGGAGCAAACAGG